rnacentral:lncRNA from 1 species
GGAUAUUAAUUGGAUAUUAAUUAGGAAGCAAUUUUAAUUAGGGCCAAAAUUAUUUUUUUUUUAAUAGAGUGAUUAAAAAAAAGAUUUUAGUUAUUAUUCUUUUCCCUGAUUGCGAGGUGAGUAGUCCAUCACCAUGACGAGAAUCAGUCGGCACAAUGAGUUAGUCUGUUGUCAGAGUUUAUAUAUAUAGAGAGAGAGAGAGAGAGAGAUUGAGCUAGAAUACUCUCAAAAGCACCAAAUGGGGUGGUGCUUUUGAGUUUUUAGCCAUUAGAUGGAGAGAUGUAGGAUUGAGAUGUAGGAUUGAGAUGGUGGUGAUAGAUGGUGGUAGCUAGGUGGAAUAGUGUUAGAUCCAAAGGCUAUUAGUAAGCCACUUCGUCCCUACUCGAACCGUGAUUGACAAACUCAAAAGCAUAACCCUAUUGGUGCUUUUGAGAGUAUUCUAGCUCAACUCUAUAUAUAUAUAUAUAUAUAUAUAGAGAGAGAGAGAGAGAGAGAGAGAGAGAGAGAGAGAGAGAGAGAGAGAGAGUUGGACUAGAAUACUAUUAAUAGUAUUUUUUUUUUUUUGCUAUCAAGUUUUUAGCCUUUGUGUCGGAUUGUUGGUGCUAACCAUUAAUCUCAAAAACUCGAGCUGUUAAAAAUACACAACCAAUUCACUUAAAGCAUACGAACUAGUAACCCAAGCAAUGCGACGAAUAGAUAAUUGAAGAAAACAUAUAAAAUAUCGACAAAAAAAAAGAAAACAGCAAUUAAAAAUGGUGAUGAUAAGGGGUGGGAUUUAACUUGUCGCUCACUCCGUUAAUAUUUCGUUAAAUUAUAUACAAAAAACUUCAGAUACUCCACCUAGGUUUAUCGAAUAUUUACUUUAGUACUCUUUAGUUUUAACUUUAUCACUGAUUUAAUGAAAAAAAAAUUAGUGGAAUCGAUAAUAAAAAAAUAAAAAUGAAACCACCGGACACUAAAUUGAUACAAUUUAAAUCACAAGGUAAUAAAGUGAGAAAGUAUGAAACCACAGAGAUGGUAUUUGAAGUUUUUUUUUUAUAUAUAAUUUGAAUAUAUUGUAUUUUCUAAAAGAAAAAAAUAAAAAUACACUGUACUUUUAUUCGAAUUUUAGAAAAGACUCAACCUAAACAAAUUUGUUGGUCAAUACUAGUUAGAGUGCACAUGAGAAAAUCUCCAGUGAUAUAAUAUAUCUGCAGUUUUAUUAGAAUUUAGUUAUUAUUCUUUUUCCUGAUUGAGGCGAGGUGAGUAGUCCAUCACCAUGACGAGAAUCAGUCGGCACAAUGAGUUAGUCUGUUGUGAGAGUUUAUAUAUUUAUAUAUAUAUAUAUAGAGAGAGAGAGAGAGAGAGAGAGCUAGAAUACUUUCAAAAGUACCAAGGGAGUGGUGUUUUUGUGUUUUUAGCCAUUAAAUGGAAAGAUGUAGGAUUAAGAUGAUGGUGGUAGGUGGUGGUAGCUAGGUGGAAUAGUGUUAGAUCCAAAGACUAUUAGUAAUCAAGGACUAGAUCCAAUGGCUAAAACUCAAAAGCAUCACCCUAUUGGUGCUUUUGAGAGUAUUCUAGCUCAACUCUAUAUAUAUAUAUAUAUAUAUAUAUAUAUAGAGAGAGAGAGAGAGAGAGAGAGAGAGAGAGAGAUAGUUGGGCUAGAAUACUAUUAAUAGUAUUUGUUUUUUUUUUUUACUAUCAAGUUUUUAGCCUUUGUGUCGGAUUGUUGGUGCUAACCAUUAAUCUCAAAAGCUCGAGCUGUUAAAAAUACAUAACCAAUUCACUUAAAGCAUACGGAUAAAUCCCACCCCUUGUAAUAUACUAGCGUAGUAACCCAAUCAAUGCGACGAAUAGAUAAUUGAAGAAAAUAUAUAAAAUAUCGAUAAAAAAAAGAAAACAACAAUAAAAAAUUGUGAUGAUAAGGGGUGGGAUUUUUCUUGUCGUUCACUCUGUUAAUAUUUCGUUAAAUUAUAUACAAAAAACUUCAGAUAUUCCACCUAGAUUUAUCGAAUAUUUACUUUAGUACUCUUUAGUUUUAACUUUAUCACUGAUUUAAUGAAAAAAAAAAUUUAGUGGAAUCGAUAAUAAAAAGAUAAAAAUGAAACCACCGGACACUAAAUUGAUACACUUUAAAUCACAAGGUAAUAAAGUGAGAAAGUAUGAAACCACAAAGAUGGUAUUUGAAGUUUUUUUAUAUAUAUAAUUUGAAUACAUUGUAUUUUCUAAAACAAAAAAAUAAAAAUACACUGUACUUUUAUUCGAAUUUUAGAAAAGACUCAACCUAAACAAAUUU